UUACUUUUUCAUCGUAUUGUGUUUAAAUUUUGUGUGGGUUUACUUUGUCAUUUUCAGUUUCAGAAUAUUAUGUUUUAGUCAUAUCAGUUUGUAUCUUUCCCCAGUUUGAUGAUAUUUUUUUCUGAUGAUGAUUUAGUCUGACCUUAUUUUUUCUUCCUUGGUUAGGGUGUCAUCUUUGCCAAGACUGAUGAAUUUCAGACUGAUGAUUUAGGUAUAUAUCAAAGGUAUUAUACAAUAUUGAAUCUUGCUUGAUAUAUUUAGUCUUUUUUCUUCUCUCUUAACGUGUAUUCUUUUCUUUCCAGCUUAUGGUUAUAUUAUAUAUGUCGAGGUAAAAAACAAACAUUCCGAUGACUUUCUUGACUUUAUUCAUAGUAGAGGAU
rnacentral:lncRNA from 1 species